rnacentral:rRNA from 1 species
AGACCCGAAACCCGGUGAUCUAGCCAUGGGCAGGUUGAAGGUUGGGUAACACUAACUGGAGGACCGAACCGACUAAUGUUGAAAAAUUAGCGGAUGACCUGUGGCUGGGGGUGAAAGGCCAAUCAAACCGGGAGAUAGCUGGUUCUCCCCGAAAGCUAUUUAGGUAGCGCCUCGUGAAUUCAUCUCCGGGGGUAGAGCACUGUUUCGGCUAGGGGGCCAUCCCGGCUUACCAACCCGAUGCAAACUGCGAAUACCGGAGAAUGCUAUCACGGGAGACACACGGCGGGUGCUAACGUCCGUCGUGAAGAGGGAAACAACCCAGACCGCCAGCUAAGGUCCCAAAGUCAUGGUUAAGUGGGAAACGAUGUGGGAAGGCCCAGACAGCCAGGAUGUUGGCUUAGAAGCAGCCAUCAUUUAAAGAAAGCGUAAUAGCUCACUGGUCGAGUCGGCCUGCGCGGAAGAUGUAACGGGGCUAAACCAUGCACCGAAGCUGCGGCAGCGACACUGUGUGUUGUUGGGUAGGGGAGCGUUCUGUAAGCCUGUGAAGGUGUGUCGUGAGGCAUGCUGGAGGUAUCAGAAGUGCGAAUGCUGACAUAAGUAACGAUAAAGCGGGUGAAAAGCCCGCUCGCCGGAAGACCAAGGGUUCCUGUCCAACGUUAAUCGGGGCAGGGUGAGUCGACCCCUAAGGCGAGGCCGAAAGGCGUAGUCGAUGGGAAACGGGUUAAUAUUCCCGUACUUGGUGUUACUGCGAAGGGGGGACGGAGAAGGCUAUGUUGGCCGGGCGACGGUUGUCCCGGUUUAAGCGUGUAGGUGUGUGUUCCAGGUAAAUCCGGUUCACUUUAACACUGAGGCGUGACGACGAGGCACUACGGUGCUGAAGCAACAAAUGCCCUGCUUCCAGGAAAAGCCUCUAAGCAUCAGGUAACAUCAAAUCGUACCCCAAACCGACACAGGUGGUCAGGUAGAGAAUACCAAGGCGCUUGAGAGAACUCGGGUGAAGGAACUAGGCAAAAUGGUGCCGUAACUUCGGGAGAAGGCACGCUGACACGUAGGUGAAGUGAUUUACUCAUGGAGCUGAAGUCAGUCGAAGAUACCAGCUGGCUGCAACUGUUUAUUAAAAACACAGCACUGUGCAAACACGAAAGUGGACGUAUACGGUGUGACGCCUGCCCGGUGCCGGAAGGUUAAUUGAUGGGGUCAGCGCAAGCGAAGCUCCUGAUCGAAGCCCCGGUAAACGGCGGCCGUAACUAUAACGGUCCUAAGGUAGCGAAAUUCCUUGUCGGGUAAGUUCCGACCUGCACGAAUGGCGUAAUGAUGGCCAGGCUGUCUCCACCCGAGACUCAGUGAAAUUGAACUCGCUGUGAAGAUGCAGUGUACCCGCGGCAAGACGGAAAGACCCCGUGAACCUUUACUAUAGCUUGACACUGAACAUUGAGCCUUGAUGUGUAGGAUAGGUGGGAGGCUUUGAAGCGUGG